rnacentral:misc_RNA from 1 species
GGAUGCCAAAGGACAGUGCUCUGGGUCAAUAUUAGGGUCAGAGCCCCACCAGUGCAAGUUAAUAUCUUCAAUGCCCACUGUUAAGUAAAUAAGAACUGCCAUGAAUGCAACUCCUGCAUCCAAAGCUGCAGAUAAGACGUAGUUAUACCUCUGCCACCAGCUCUUUCGGUACCUGAAGACGAAAAAGUUGAAGAUGGUUCCCACCAAAAUCCAUGAGUUAAAGUUAAUUGCAGUUGCUGGGGGCAUAGCAGCAGUUGCUCCCAGGAGCACUGGCAGAUUAAUGAGAGGUAUCCAAGAUUGGCUUGGGAAUGCCUUGUGUAAGAGCCAUACUAUACAUGGUCCCAGUAAUCCUCCCAGGAAGAACCAGUUAAGUGCAGAAUAUUCUCCUUGAGAACCAAAAAUCCUCUUAGGUCCUACCAAGCCCCAUAUGACAGAUGCAUCGAAGAAGACACGAUCACCGGGGCAAGUCCAAGGACUGUUCGAGGGAAGGAGGUUAUCUUGACAUAUGUUUUCAAUACUAUUUAGAAGCCACCAUGCAACACAGAGGUUUAUUGUUCCAGCUAUGAUGGUUCCAAUAAACUGAACAAGAAACAUAGAUCUUGGAGGGAUCUUCAUGUAAUGGCCUAGCUUGAAAUCACUAAGAAAGGAAACUGCCUGAGCCAUGCUCAUGUAUCCAAAAGUUUUGAAGCAUACAUUGGCUAUAGGCCUUCCAGGGUAUAUAAUUCCCAUGAUAUACUCAGUGAUGAUAUUAAGCCCAGGCGUCUGUGUACGUUGACGGAGUAUGUAUGUUUAGUUAGUUAACAUAUGAGGAUCUAAUUAAAACAAAAUUAUAGAACUAAAAUUAAUAUGUUACCUGAUUAGUGGUGGCAGUGAUGAUGCUAAUAGGAAGGGUGAAGAUGAAGGCAAGGGCAGCUGCAAAUAGUAGUCCCCACCAUGGCAUUUGAACAUCCUUUUUCAGGAAAAUGCAAAGUGCAAGGGAGAGUACAAUUGUCACAAAAAGAAGCACAUAAAACCACCAAGCAGGUAUGUCCUUGUAGUUCUUCAUUAGUCUAGUGUGAAUAUCUUCCUUUCCUUUAUAAGAGGCCUUGUAUCGUUCAUAUAUUUCCCUUCCAUAGAACAAGGCCACAUGAGUCAAUGUGGCUGCAAUCGUGGCAAAUCCAAAUCCAUAGGUGACAGCAAAGAAGGUGCUCAAAUGGACUCUCCCAUGCUGCUCAUAUUGUGCCAAAUCUAACUCGAACUUGUCAUUAAUGAUGGCUGUAAAGUUGUACCUUGCACCUUGUGCAUCGAACAAGUGAGAAGAAAAUAUUGGAUAUGUUUUGGCAUCAUAUAGAUUUAGACCCCAGUAAGCUACUGGGGUCACCACAUACAUGAUGAAGACAUAUCCUAUGAACACAUUUACAAUGGCAAAAAAGGGACUCAAGAGAGGGCUAAACAAGAAGGAAGCUAUUGUUGACCAGUCCAGUGUCAGGGCACCGAGCCCUAAUCCUCUCAUACCGGACCCUAGUUGCUGGGCAGUGACCGACUUGGGGAAAGCCCAGCAUACCCAUGCCAUGCUUUGUAAUGUUUGGAACAAGUACCCCGGAAACAAGUACCAGAUAAAGCUACAUGUUAGUGCAAUCACAAAGAAUUUCACUCGCGAUACACGGUGCUGGUUUUCUGUGUCUUCUUUUUCAUGCAAUGUCGUGAAAAGUGAGAUCUGAACGAGGGUUCCUGGCCACCACAUGUGAGCCGGCUCCACCACGUAUUUUCUCAAGAGUCCAGCCCAACCAUAUCCUAAAACCUGUGUGCUGAUGAUAAGAAUCCAAGAAGAGAAAAAGGAGAUAUUUCUGCCAUAAAACGCCUUGAUAAUAUUAACAAUCCCUACAGCAUAAGCGGAACCAGCCCCAAAUGCACUCCCAGCAUUAGCAAAUAUAGUUAUCAAAACAUGCUCUUUCACGUUAAAUGGACCUGGGUUAAGGGAGAACUCCCUAGCCCCGAACCCUGGAAUAUUGAACUUCCUUUUAGGAAGAACAGCAGCCAUGAAACGUCCGAUGGGUAGAGUUGCCACCUGGACGGUGAUCUGGGUGAUGAUGAGAGGCUCUGUGCGAUAGGCGAAGAACUGGUUCAAGAAUGAGAGGAGACAGCAGGAGAAAAGCCCCAAGAACCACAUCCUGAAAGUCCAUACUCGGAGAGAAGGGUCGUCAGUGUCCGGUACAGUUAAACGGACUUGCUCUAUUGGAGAGAUCUCAUCCUCGUCUGCGAGUUUCUUGCUUGGUGGAGCUUCAAUCUCCACAGUUCCCAUUCUGU